AUGGGGGAUAACGUAGCGAAAGUUACGCUAAUACCGCAUAUGCCCKGAGGGGGAAAGUGGGGGACCWGUAAUGRCCUCUCGUUUUCGGAGCGGCCGAUAUCAGAUUAGCUAGUUGGUGGGGUAAAGGCCUACCAAGGCGACGAUCUGUAGCUGGUCUGAGAGGACGACCAGCCACACUGGGACUGAGACACGGCCCAGACUCCUACGGGAGGCAGCAGUGGGGAAUUUUGGACAAUGGGCGCAAGCCUGAUCCAGCCAUGCCGCGUGAGUGAAGAAGGCCUUCGGGUUGUAAAGCUCUUUCAGCCGGAAAGAAAACGCAUGGGUUAACACCCUGUGUGGAUGACGGUACCGGAAGAAGAAGCACCGGCUAACUACGUGCCAGCAGCCGCGGUAAUACGUAGGGUGCGAGCGUUAAUCGGAAUUACUGGGCGUAAAGCGUGCGCAGGCGGUUUCGUAAGACAGAUGUGAAAUCCCCGGGCUUAACUUGGGAACUGCAUUUGUGACUGCGAGACUAGAGUACGGCAGAGGGGGGUAGAAUUCCA
rnacentral:rRNA from 1 species